GAGAGCGGCGGUGAGGGGCUGCCCGGAGCGGCGCGGCUGAGGUGCCUGCCGACCGGGAGGCUUCUGCCCGCAGCUCGUGAAUGUCGAGGGUUCGCGUCCCGGUUCCGGCGGUCACGGAGGGCAGGGCGGGGAUCAGGGUCACGGGUGCCCAGCCCGUGUAGGGCAGGAGGUCCGAGUGGCCACCGCGGCGGGUCCCCGGGCGGGGGCUUCUUCUCAGCAUCCACCGCGGCACCACGCCAGGGGGCUGCGGCGCCCACCUGUUGGGCGCCUGGGUCCGGUCCCCCCGCAGCCGCUGUGGAAGCGGCAACCCGAGCGCUUGGGCCUUGCAGCUCCGCCGGGCGAGCUGAACCGGCCACGGGCUCUUACUCUGGCUUAAAAGCAAGCACUUGGCCAGAAAGCGUGGUUUUUUGGUUUUUUUUUUUUUCAUUCUCCACAAGAAGUCACCGUUAAUUUGCUUGAUGUGUAAUGGCAAGAGUGCUGAGGUGCUGCUUAGUGCAAUUUCUGCAGAAACGAGCAAAUAGAGCGGUUCUGUAGAAAUGUAUGUAUUGAAGGAACCUUUAGAGGUCAUUUAACCUCUCCCCCUACCUUGCAGCAGGAUUAAGUAUAUCCAAACCAUUCCUGAGAGGGAGUGAUUUAUGAAUAAUUAUGUUUGUGCUUUUAAAAGUUCCCCCAGACUACACCUUCCUGUGACCUCUCUUCACAGGAACUGUUCCCUCUUUCUUUUCAACCUUUACGUUUAGGUAUAUUUAAUGAAAAUAACAAAAUGUUGGUAAUAUGAGGUCCCAUCACAGCAAUCUGUGCUAAUUCUCUGUGAAACAAGUGGAUUACACCUACAAGCUGAAAUACGAAGUUUUUAUGGACCAAUUAGUUCCUUUACAGGAAUUACAUUUCACCUGCUGGGAUUUCCUUAGUGUCAUUUAGAUGUAAGAUCAUCUUUGGUUCUUGCCUUAAGUCAUCACCUGACAUUUGUGGGUCUUGUUAAUCAGAACUGUUUGAGUUGGAAGGGACCACUUGAGAGCAUCUGUUCCACCUCACCCUGGAGCAGGUUGCCCAGGGUGGUGUCCAGUCAGGUUUUGAGGAUUUCCAUGGCUGGAGUCUCAGCAACCCCUCAGGGCAACCUGUGCAGCGUGCGAAGACCUUCACAGUAUAAGUUUUUCAGUUUCUGUUAAGAUUUUCCUUGUCUUAUGUUCAGUUUUGUUGGGUAGGGUUAUCACUUUUGGAGACUUCCUUAGUAGGGAUUUUGGACAGAAGAGACAUUAGUGAGAGGUGUUAGCUUUUAAUCCAGCAACUGGUUAAAAUUGCAUGAGUUUGUUGUUUUGCUUUGUUUCUUCUUUUCUUUUUUUUUUUUUUCCUUCUGAGUAUUACAUACACGGACACAUAAGCUGCACUUCCAAAACAGACUUCGCAACUGAAGUACAGUUUAACAGUGUACCAUAACUAAAGAAUUAGCCUUAAGUAUUUCUUUAUGUAUUGACUUUUGGGUAUUCUUUUUCAGAAGAAAAAAACCCCACUUAUCAAAUGAGGCUGAAAGUUUUAGUUUGUUCUAGGGAACAUUAAACAAGGUUAUACAAAUAGAGGUGUAUAUAUCCAACAGUUAUCUAGCACCUGAAAAAAGUAUGCCAAGUUUCUUUUCUACAUUUACACACCUUCUUGGGCUGUUGUAUUCACUGUCACAUAAACUCACUUUGAAAACAUAUCUCUCCCCUGAGAACCAUAGUUCAUUGAUGAUUUGGAAUCCAUUGGCUAAAUAUACGGAAGCCACCUCUGGCUAAUGAAGCUCCUAAGUCUUAGCGGAAAUAUUGCGCAUGCUGGCUUUGCUUUUCCCACAGGUAUUCCCGGCAUCUCCUUUUGGCUACUGUCUGUUUUCUACAAUGAGAUCCUGGAGUAGCUGACCCUUUUUCUCAUCUAGAAGAGCAGCCUUUAUGUUCAAACCCAGGCUCUUUUUGUUCUUCACAUUUGUUUUAUCUUUUGAGGUAACUCUUCCAUUCAAGACCCAAAUAUGGCAUUUUGAAGACUUUUUUUUUUUCUCCAUUACUUUUUUGACUUCAGCAGCUGAGGCUUGCAGUAUUUGAUAUUUUCUUUUAAUACUGCUAAAAAAUAUUGUGGGAGCUUGAAUCAUAAUAAAGGAGGUCUUGGAGUCAAAAUUUUUUAGAAUCAAGAUUCUUGAUUCUAAGAAAUAAAUCUAAAGCAUGUUUGCCUCUGUAUUAUGCUGUUUUGGUGUCUGUAGUAGAGCAUUGUGUAAUUAUUUCGAUAAUCACUUAAUAAACAACUUCUAAUUUCAGUGCUCCUCUUCUCCUAAUUUUACUUGAGAAUUACUUAAAUAACUGAGUAAUUUUCCUGAAAACAACUGCAAAGGUGACACGGAUUUUUUAAUUUUUCAAUUUAUUGAUUGCUUUGAGACCUUGUUUCCCUUUCUGUGCCUGGCUCAGCUUUUUGGGGGGGCAGUGGAAAGGGAAGGGUCCAACAGUAGGUUAUGACACAGCUGCUCUCAGUUACUUUCUUUAACUGCUGCAUUCUAUUUUAGGGUUUUGUGCUGCUGCCUACCACCUCAAUAUUCUUCUGUGGAAAAUUUUCAACACCUACAUUCUUCAUGCUCUUUGGAGUUUUGGGCUCUUUUUGGUGUUUAAAAGAUCUGGCAUGUAUUUUACCCCCAUCUUGGUUUCUCCUGUGAAUCUAUGUUUUCUGGGGCCAUCUGGAGGUGUUUUUGCAAGCAUAGUUGCUCUCGAUAAAGGAAAUCAGAGUAGUUUGUUUCUCUUUUUUUUUUUGUAAGGGAAAUUAUUCACUCUAUCUCUGGAAACUCAUUUUGUUGAGUGGAGUUUCCGGACCAAGAGUUUUUAUUUAGCGUUCAUGUGCUUUUUGUUUAAUCUUCUGUAUUUCUUUAAACCAACUGCUGACUUUAUAUUUUAAUAAUUGAUUUAUAGUAUAUUCUGUGGUUAAUUUCUUGCGGUCUUUUUUUUUUUUUGCCCAAAGAUGUUUCAUUUGGUGCAAAACAACCUGCAUUUCUAAAGCAAAAGAUCUGUAUUUGGUGUUCUAACUCUCAGCCUCUUAACUGCUAAAGUACAGACACUUCCAUGCUUCCUAUUCUGUAACUAAAAAGAUAGGAAGUGUUUUUUAAAGUAUCCUGUGGUGGGAAACUUCAUCAAAUCCUUGCUUUGAACAAACAAUGAUAUGAGACAGGGUUUUGCACAUCCAGUUGAGUGUCUUAUGUUGCUGGAAGUAGGAAGAGGUAGAAGCAGCAAGCACAUGUCCUCUGUUUUUACUUAUGCUACUGGUGAGAGUUACAAAAGGAGUUUAGUUUGGUCAGCUUCAUUUCAUAUUUACCAGCCUGGGAUCUCUUUCUUUAUUUGCUGAAAGUGCUGUUUUGGGUUCAAACAAGUGUCUUAACAAUUUAGCCAUUAUUAGUUAAAAAAAAAAGACAGUCUUGAUUGUAUUCUUUGCAGCUUUGAUUUCAAAGGUGGUGUGGCAUCUCUCACCACUAAAAUAAGGUGGAUUUUCCUAAUUGAGACUUCCUUUCUAACUUUCUGGUUCUGUAAAAACUAAAGAGUACCCUGGCUUUUUUCUGUGGUUGUAUAUACUGUUUUUAGGGAGCUCUUGUUAGUGUUGUUUUCUCUAGCUUGUGCUUUUCUUGUCAAUGAUGGCAAUAAUGCCUGCUCCUUUGCUGUGUUAGGAAUUUAUAGGUGUAUAUAGCUGUGACUAAGUAACAGGUCUCUCAAGAGUUCACCAUUCAUGGUACUCUGUGCACUUUAUACCUCUGACUCAGAAGGUGCAAUCCGUCGGCUGCCAGUGGUCUGCAGACCAUAGCGUUCAGUCAAAGAAACAGUACUGCUGCUUAUGUUUUUCAGUUUACAUCUGUAGUUUAUAGAUUGAAAACCAGAAAAUUCUGCAUUAGUCAGAGGGUUAGGAGCUCAUCAGUAAUCUGUCUACAAGUACUCUGCUGCAGUAGAUUUGCUUGUAGAAUUCUCACAGUUUCUGUCAAAAGGUGAUAAAUAAUUGGGGAAGAAAGAUGCUCCUGUAGUUGCUGUCACUGUUGCUUCUCUUCGUUGCUAGGGUUUGGGGAAAAGUCUGUAAGAAUGGGCUGUGUGUAUCCAUAAGUAUUUUUGUGUAGAAAAGGAGCAAGGAAGUUGGGCUAUUACUUUGUGGGAAGUGGAAAGACAAGGGCUUCAGGGGCUGCUGGCUUUGUUUCGUGUUUUGUGUUUCCUGCUUACUGCGAAAAGCUGUGUGUAGAUCUUUUCUGUUCUUCAUGGUUUAUUUUAUGCUGUGUUAGCAGAAAAAGAACAUUACUUUGUGGACAGCUGGACUGUCUAGUUUUGGUCACUUUGUGGGUCAAGAAGGGAUGUAAAAUAUCUACUUGCUAUCACUAGCAUUGAUAACAGAUAGGAUUGCUAUAACAAUUUCUUCUUAUGAAAAGUAUUUCAUUAGCUAGGAAAAGAGAUGCAUUCUUUCUUUCUGGACCUAUUUAAUAUCCAGGACACCCACUGAAAAUCUAAUGUGGGCAUGAUAACAUUGAUUUAUAAAUAGUUUUAAAAUGCUCCUACUGUAUUUAGAAGUAAAUUUGAAAAAUAUAUUAAAUAACAAAACAUUGCAUUUUUUCAUGAUACAUGAAUAGCUAUUUGAGAUGCGUGUUGAUUGUACAUAUUAGAAAUGUUUUAAAUCAAUAGCUGAGAAUUGAAACAAAUACUAAAUUUAAAAGGCGAUAGUUCUUCCUUAGUGAUGUGCUUUUAUGUUGACUUGGUUCUUCUUAAUUUGUGACCAAAAUUUAAAUGGUUGUAAACUACUAGUAUGACAAUUUGAGUGCAUUAGUAUUUCUUCUGGAUGAAUUGUUGAUAUCCAUGCUGUUCUUUCGAAGUGGGGCAAAGUGUUUAAUGCUCCCAUUCAUUAAAUACCAAUUUAUUUUAUUAGUGAUUAAGCCAAGACUACAUAUUUAUUGGUGCCAAGGGAUGCCAGCUGUUUAGUGCUUUGGGUGUGGUUGUUUUUUUUUUUUAGUUUUUUUUUUAUUUUUAUUUUAUACUGUUGUAUUUUGCCAUAAGGAGCCUAAAUCACAUGAGUCAGACAACACAGGUGUUGUUAGUAAAGGCCUUACUCUCUAUAUAUUAUAGACAGAAGUAGUGUUGUUGAAUAGCUGUUUGUUUAUUUUUGUCUUUUUUAUGUUUGAUAAAUGUCAGCUAACUAGAAGAAUUUUUGCGUAACUGGGCUUUCCUUCUGAAACAUACAAGUUUGGAAUAUUUGAGCGAAACUGAAGAUGAACUGAGAGUGAGAUUUAAAUUAAAAAAAAAAGUUUUUUUGCAAUUGCUGAAGUAGUUACCUACUUACAAUAUGUUUGUGUGUGAAUAUUUCACAUUGCCUCCACCAUGUGAGUAGGAAUCUGAAAUUGGGUGUACAGAUCAGAGCCAUAGAACGGUUUGCAUUGGAAGAGACUUUUAAACACCGUCUAGUCCACACCCCCUGCCAUAUGCAGGGUCAUCUUUGUGCCUUCUGUUCUCCAGGCUGAACAACCCCAACUCUCUCAGCCUUUCUUUGCAGGAGAGGUGAUCCAGGUCUGAUUUUUUUGUGGCCAUUCUCUGGACCUGCAUGGACAGAGCUGUGUCUGUCUGGUGUUGGGGUCCCCAGAGCUGGAUGCAGUACUCCAGGUGGGGUCUCAGGAGAGCAGAACAGUGAGAGAGAAUCGUCUCCCUCAGUCUGCGGGCCAUGCUUCUUUUAAUGCAACCCAGGAUACAAUUGGCUUUCUCAGCUGCAAGUGUGUUUUGCUGGCUCAUAUCCAGUUUUUCAUCUGCCUGGAUACCCAAGUCCUUCUCCUUGGGGUUCCUAUCAAUCAGUCCCACAGUCUGUACUAAUAUUUGGGAUUCCCCUGACCCAGGUGCUGGACCUUGCACUUCUCUUCAUUGAACUUCAUGGGGUUCACAUGGGCCCAUUCCUCAAGUGUGUCACUGUCCAUCUGACUGGCAUCUCUUCCUUCUGGUGUAAAGACUUCAGCACUCAGUGUCAUCUGCAAAUGUGCUGAGAGGGCAUUCACUCGGUCGCACUCUAUGUAAUUAAUGAAGGUAUUAAUCUGUCUUGGUCCCAGUAUGGACCUUGUUACUGGUUUCCAUUUAGGUGUUGAGCUUCUAAUUGUGUUGCUCUGGAUGGGGCUGUCCAGCCAAUUCCUUAUGCAUCUAACAGUCCACCCAUUAAAGCCAUAUCUCUCCAAUGAAGUGGUAAGAAUGUUGGAGACUGUAUUAAAGGCUUUACAAAGUCUGGGUAGAUGACAUGUGUGGCUCUUCAGUUGUCCACUGAUGCAGUCAUUCCAUUGUAGAAGACCAUUAGCUUAGUCAGGCACCUUUUACUCUUGAUGGAAGCCAUGUUGUCUGUCUCUAAUCACUUCCUUGUCAUCCAUAUGCCUUGACAUAGCUUCCAGGAGGGUCUGUUCCAUGGGCAUUGCAGAGAAGCUGACUAGUCAGUAGUUCUCAGGGUCCUCUUUCUUACCCUUUUUAAAAAAGGUGUGGUAGUCCCUUUCCUCUAGUCACUGGGGACUUUGCCGACUGCCAUAAGAAAGGCAUGAGUGAAAAGCAUCCUUUUAUGAGAACGGUGGAAUAUUGUUGUUUCUCAAUAAAGACAGUUGUGUUUUACAUGCUUGUAAUUUUUCCAGCUGCACUGAGGAAGCCUCUGGAACGUGCUGAGAUUUCUACAUUUACCACAUAGUUUUUCUACAUUUCUACAUUUACCACAGAUUCAGCCCAGAGGAGAAUGACUGAAGCAGGUCUGUUUUUUCUGUCAGGUAUAUUUUGGUUCUGGAGGAGGUAUGCUGUUCUUAGGGAAUGACUUCAGAUAAUCUUGUUCUUUGUAGUUAUUAAGUGUGCACUGUUUCAACUAUUUCAGGUACUGUUUAGUUCAUGUUGCAGAGGUUAUUCAAAUAUUCUCCUAUACGUCUGCAAUUUCACAGGAUUUGAGAAGUACUACAAAGUUAUUUCAGGCAGACUUGAUGUCAUGGACCCAAAUUCUACUUGAUUAGUCAUGGUAAUUCAGAGUGAAUAUACCCAAAUGUAUGUCUAUGGUUACAUUGUCUGUAAAAUAAAACUACUUGUGGAUUCUUGAAUUUUCAAAUGCAUUGAAAAUCACAAAUGCAUUAUCACUGCAUUAGUCGAGACCAUUAUAUUUAAAUAAAAACUAACUCUGAGGCCUAUGCUGGAACUUUUAGAUUAUCCUGUCCUCUUCAAUAAGUGAUUGAAGUUUUGAAAUAACUCUUAGAACUGUAGUGCUUCCAGAAAGCACUUAGGUGACUUAGAAAAUUCAUGUCCUGUUCUAUUCUGUGCAUCUUCCAUCCAAAUUACUUCAAUGACUACAGUUAGUUUUAAUUGAAGUAGUGUAGAUAUUUGUAGCUCAAAAUGAAAUGUCACAGAUGAGUUAUCCUAUCCUUGAUCUAUGAAGGGAUUAAAGCAAACCCUUACCUCUGGAAACACAGAAUGUUUGGGAUUGGAAGGGACCUCAAAAAAUCAUCUAGUCCAAACCCCUGCUGGAGCAGGAACACUUAGAUGAGGUUACACAGGAAGGUGUCCAGGUGGGUUUUGAAUGUCUCCAGAGUAGGAGACUCCACAACCUCCCUGGGCAGCCUGUUCCAGUGCUCUGUCUUACUGAGAAGAAGUUUCUUCUCAAAUUUAAGUGGAACCUCUUGUGUUCCAGUUUGAGCCCAUUACCCCUUGUCCUACUGUUGGUUGUCAUUGAGAAGAGCCUGGCUCCAUCCUUGUGACACUCACCUUUUAUAUAUUUGUAAACAUUAAUUAGGUCACCCCUUAGUCUUCUCCAAGCUAGAGAGACCCAGCUCCCUCAGCCUUGCCUCAUAAGGGAGAUGUUCCACUCCCUUAAUCAUCUUUGUUGCCCUGUGCUGGACUCUCUCCAGUAGUUCCCUGUCCUUCUUGAACUGAACCCUUUGCAUUCUACUGUCCUUUCCUCUUUGAAAUCAUCAGCCAAGAGUUACGUUUUCAAUGCUGAGUACUUGGCAUGGGACAGUUGUCAGUGUAAUGGCUGUACCGCUGACUGGAGGCAUGCUGAGUGUACUGACUCUGCCCUCACCAAACAGCAAAGGAGGUAAUUUACUUUUAGCUAUUCAGUGAGGGUGGGAUUGUGUGUCAUAUGUCCAUGUCUAUCUGGUAACUUCUCUCUGCCAUUUAACAGGUUUAUAUUUCUCUCCUGUCCUCCUGUGAUAGUACUGAUCUUACUUUUGUGAGGUUAAUUCAUUGACUGUGUCCUGAUGGGCAAGGAAAUAUCUUGUGUUUCUUGUCCAUCAAUGCCAUAAUGAGUCAGUUAUUAAGAACAUGUAAUAAAAUUAUUCAGUUAAGUGGAUUGCUGUCUUUUUGUCACAUUGAGGGACUAAUCUGAGAGUUAAAUUACAAAAUCAUGUGUAAUGAUAGCAUCUUUUAGUGUAAGUCGUGUAAUAUUUUUACUUCAUCACCAUUGUAGUAUAACAUCGUAUUAUUAUUUGUAUGGUGCCUUUGUGCUUUCAACAGAGUUCUGAGUAAGGAUGCGAUCUCUUGGAGGCGUAUGCGUUUAUGUUUAUGUAUAUACUUCUAUUCUACAAAUGUGUGUAUGUAAAUCAGUGUGCUAUCUUUGCAUUUUUGAUUCAAAAGUAUUUUUGUCUUCAAAACUACAGCAGAGACAAGAUAUCAGGAAAUUGUUUAAAUAAAAAAUUGUGGUUGGAAGAUACCUCAAGCUAUUUUUCAGGUAUCAUAAAGUUACAUGUUGGUUGCAUUCCCCGUAUACUGCAACAUUAAGGAAUUGGGAAAGAAGGAGGGAAGAUGCACUUGUUUGCUGAUGGUGUCUAUUUUGAAGCUGUCAAUCUCGUCAGGGUGCGUACAGUCUUAUUACAAAUCUCUAGCAGGCAAUUAGAUGUAACUGCAUACUGUAUGUGAGUGACUUUUGUGAACUGGAAAAUAAUCUAAUGUUAUCUUUAGACCCUUGUGCAUUAAAAAGCACCAAGUUUUCUUAUGAGGGGAUGAUUGGUCUUAUCUUCUAAUGACUUUUUAGGUUGUUGAAAAGUAUAAUGCCUCAAAGAUAGGCUCUGUAGAGUGUAAGUAUUCUGUACUGUAACCACUCAGCAGGACUGGGUGGGUUGUAGAGGGAAUACCUCUUAUUUAGGAAUGUAAUCUGUGACUGGAAAUCACGAAUAAACACUGGCACAGCAAGAGAGUCUGCACUGGCAGCAUACAACAAUGUAAGUUUAAGUGUCUUGUGAGACGUCGAGAAGCCAGCCUGUCACUCACAUAUUAAGUGUAUACAUUAGCUCAAUUAAAGGCUUGAGCUCUUUAGUCAGAAGUGUCCUAGAUGUUAGGGGAGUCCAAAAAGAUCCAUAGUAACAAUUUUCUUGCAGAUAUUUUAAUGCUUAUACCAGCCAUAUUAUUUUAUGUCAUGUGUGUUUUUUUUUUUCUCAAUUUCAUAUAGUAUUUUGCAUUUCCGUGUGAAUUCUUCCGGCCGGACAGUCAUGUGUAUUUCAUUUUGUGUUGGAAUAUUCUCUUUGUAAUAGAAAAAAAUGUCUGUAUCUGAUUAUUAUAUUGUUCUUAUUAAAAAUUAACAGUAAACCAAUAGCUCCCUCUGUCCUCCCAGCUGUUUCUUCUCUUUUGGGGGUAUCUACUGAUUAAACACCUAAAAUGAGAGUUUGUGUUCUGUGCUUUUCUAGCAGUUUUUGGUGUUUGUUUUUUGUUUGUUUUUUGUUCCCCCCCCACCCUGUUCUGGUGAUGUUCUCUUCCAGAUUUCAGAAGAUGGUAUAUAUAAUAUAAUAUAUAUUUUAUAUAUAUAUAAAAUAGAUAAUAUAUAUACUAUAUAUAUUAUAUUAUGUAUAUAUAUUAUAUUAUAUAUAGUAUAUAUAAUAUAAUUUAUAUUGCUGUAAAAAUGUAUGGUAUGAUAUGAACUCUGCUAACAGUUGACAUGCUUUGAAAUAAAUACAGUGAAACUU